AUUGAACGCUGGCGGCGUGCCUAAUACAUGCAAGUCGAGCGAAGCGGCGGAUGGGUGAGUAACGCGUGGGUAACCUGCCCUUAAGUCUGGGAUACCAUUUGGAAACAGAUGUUACUAACGGAUACUGAAGGAUGGACCUUCGAUGCAUUAGCUAGUGGGUAAGGUAACGGCUUACCAAGGCGAUGAUGCAUGGCCGGGUGUGGAGGCGAAUCGGCAACAUGGGGCCUGAGACACGGCCCAAACUCCAACGGGAGGCAGCAGUGGGGAAUAUUGCACAAUGGGCACAGGCCUGAUGCAGCCAGGCGGCGGGGAUGAGGAAGGCCUUCGGGUGGUAAGGUACGUUCAGCGAGGAGGCGGUACUCGCAGAAGAAGCACCGGCUAACUCCGUGCCAGCAGCCGCGGUAAUAC
rnacentral:rRNA from 1 species